rnacentral:lncRNA from 1 species
AAAGAUAGAGGCCAUUUAUUCUUUUUUAGUCAAGGUAUUUGACUCUAAAGUGACUAAAAGGUGAGGUUUAGUCCCAUUUAGCAAAAUUUUGGUGACUAGUGAAAACUAUGCAACGUUAGGAGGAGGCUAGGUCCGUGCUCACCCCUAUCUCCGCCCCUGUGAGAAGGUGCAUUAUUAAUUGAUUGAUUAUCUCGUUAUCUUUUUUUUUAAUUACACGGUAUCAUUGUAUACGUAUACACAUUUCUAAGGCCAGUUUUAUUAGAGUUUUAUGCAUAUUAAGUAUGGUGAUAUGGUACUAUAUUAAUAAGAAAGAGAUGAUAAUUUAUGGGAGUAGAGAAAGUUUCAUCCCUAUAAAACUUUUUUGCACUGUUUCCAAAAUAUAUGAAUGUGUUAGAAACGGUGAUGAUGGCCUAAAUAUACGUACGCAGUCCUACUCCUAUAGACGCUCGUUGUUGAUAAAAACGUUACCUACAGAUGAAUGCACAACACAUUAAAUUCUUGAAAAUUCGUUUAUAUGAGG